UCUAUUUGCUUUUGUUUAUUUUUUUAGAUUAAAACUCCAUGAUACAAGGGAAAAACAAAGAAGUAAAUAAAAAGACUAACUAAAUUCACACUAAAAGCUGGCCAGGCCUCGAUGAAGUACGGCCUAGCUUCGAUAGCGGCAAGGGCAGAAUCGGGAAAGCUGCGUGACACGGUUGUUUUAAACAUAUUCCAACCUCCAUUUUGCACACAUCCAAGGUCAAAACUCCUCCCCUUCUCUGUCUAGGCUUCUCUUCUCUCUAGAUUUCCACCCCCUUGAGUUACCCAACAACCCUUGCAAUUUUUUCCCUUGAAACCCUUUCCCUCCUUUACACUUUGAACCUAACAAAAAUCAAUUUGGUGGAGUUUUGGGGUUUCUCUUGUUUUCCCUCACAUUUGGCCACACUUUCCUUUUUUCCCCCUUUGACUUUCCAUAACCUCUUUACUUUCUCUCUCAUAGGGUUUGAAUUUUGAGAUUUUCACCAAUUUUCACUCAUCCCUUCACUUUUUCUUCUCCUUUUUCACUUUCUCUCUAUGGCUAGUGAUGAGGUUCCCAUCCCGGACCCUGCCAUUAGUAUUGGCACUAUCUUAGGUGUAGAUAUAGAGGCCGAGGACGUUCCCACGUUGCCUCCGCUCAUUGAUAGGCCAUUUGAUGCGGCCACUUACUGACCACGUACAAUUGCUCCAUCCGCAGGCGGUAUUUUGAGAUUUGAGGGCCUCAUCCCAGGGAUAGAUGAGGACAUCCUACUGCGAGAGCCCGUGCAGCACUUGUCCGCCGAUGUCUCCACGAUAAGUAACUUUUCCUUCGUCUUGUACAUAUGUUGAAUCUCAUAAACAAACCACUCGUUAGUGCUAUUUACAUAUUGAUAAUACUCCCAAUUUACAAGUGCUAGCUAGGAGGGUUGGCGGCUAUGGAUCCAUAUCAGGUCCCCGGCACUGGUAUGAGAGGCUUCCCCACAGAGGUCCGUACACUAGUUGAUGUUGCCGGCUUUGGGCCCUUCUGUUUAGGGCUCAUAUAGAUGAGGGCUGAGUCGCUAUUAUACGGGGCCCUACUAGAGAGAUAGUGGGACACUAUGGACUCGUUCCACUUCUCAUCGAUUGGGGAGCUAACUCUGACCCCAUACGAUUUCGCGAUGCUCACUGGCCUACGGGUUGGGGUUAGCGGCCCCAUCCCAUGUGAUCUUGAUAUGACAUAGUGGAGAGCCAUACAACAUUAGCUUCUCGGAGCCAUCCCAGACACUACCAACCACGGGAUGGUGAGGUACAGUUGGUUUUUGGAGCGCUUCACUGACCUUCGGCCAGCUACUCCAGAUGACGUCGCCUAGUACACCUGUGGCUUCUUUAUGUAUCUCCUUGGCACUACCCUGUUUUCCAACAAAGAAAACAUCGUGGGAUUAUAUCUUCUGGGGGCACUGGUGCACCUACUACAGGUGAUAGAGUAUGACUGGGGUGGCAUCGGCUUGGCUAUCUCGUACUGCUACAUAAGCUUCACAUCCCGCCGCAAGGCAGAUUCACUUGGUUGCUAUUAGAUGGUGCGGGAGCUAUGUGUUUACACAUAUUUCACCUCUCUGGCUUCGGUUCCAGUGAGGCCGAUUGAGUUGUCAGUACCCCGCUCCUGGUACUAUAACUCCCGAUUUGAGCGAUACCGCCACGUAGACCGAGACUUCCCUUACUUUCGCCGUUUCUUCGACACGGCGGAUUAGGUUGACUGGCACCCUUGGGCGAGUAUCCCUCAGGCAAUGAGGGCAACCUAUGUUACCGCAUGGCAUGCCUCUACUAUGAUGAUUUUGUUCGAGGGUCCCUUUGGUAGGGCAUAUUACUUGGGAGAGAGGUUCAUCUGGCAGAUGUGAGGCGUUGUUGAGCCUGACAUUCUACAUCCUCCUCCUUUAGGCAUGAAGGGAGUUGAUGAGCUUCACGAUGGUCAUCAGAUUGACUUCCUGAUGUUGAGAGAGGAUGGUGACUGACAUCAUGAGCCCAACGACUUCACCACUUUCUCGUAGACUUGGGUAUGACACCUCUUAUCCUGGGUAUGGUCCACGCUAUUCCAGAGAUUGCUACUGCUGCUACUGUCGCCAGAGGAGUUCCUACUAUAGCUCCCAUUCUUGGGCUUCCGGUGAUUCCUACGAAGGUCGUAUACAUGCAGCCAGACAGGGAGAUUGAGCAGAUCCCUCUUGAACAAAUUGAGGAGAGGGAUCGCAGAUUGGUGAUUGCUCUCGGCAUUGAGCAGGUACACAUUUCUUUAUAUUUCUAGCCACUACCCUACUCUACGUCUUCAUUGUACUCUGUUGCUUUGUUCCACUGUGUUAAACUCUCCAUUGUUUUGCAAGUACCCACGACAUAUGCUGAUGACCUUCUCUAGACGAUUGACCAAUUGCUCCUCAUGGUGCGGAGGAGGCAGACAGCUCUGGCCAUUUACAGGAUUGAGUUGCACCUAUAGGACCUCCUCCUACUAGGAGACGAAGACGGGGCCCAGUGAGGGGCAGAGGAGGAGCUGACCAGGGGAGAGGCAGAGUGAGGCAUCACUCACCUCCCGAGGAGUCCUUUGAGGAGUACACGACUUCUGAGGAUGAGGGCGAGGCGAUUGACAUGCAGUCUAGUAGCUCCAGUGAUGACAACGACGCACCUCCUCCACAGCCGAGGAGGAAGAGAGCGAGGAUGGGUUGCUGAUGAUGAUGAUGAUUUCUUGUUUUUGUUUUUGCUUUGUAGUUAAAGACUAGCUUCAGAUAGACCCUUUUGUUGUUGAAGAAUUUUCUUUUGUUUUGUUGCUUUGCAAAACAAUGAUCGGGGUUAGACCUGUUAGUUUGUAAAAGAAAUUUUUUUGACUAAUCUCCUUGCAUAAUAUGUGAUGAAUGGCAUGUAAUGAAUGGCGUAACCUUUGCAUGGUAACUUCGCAUAAGACUUAAAUCAAUGAAUAUUUACCCUUGUAUUCAUUCUUGAAUCGGAUAACAACCCACAACCGGACAAAACGUAAAAUACAACUUGAUAACAGAAUGAAAACAACUCAAAAAUACUAAAAAACAUCUGGUACAAACAAAAAGGACUUAAAACACAACUGCGGUAUGCCAAGACAAAGACCAACUUUUUUGAAAUUGCACUGAUCUGGAGGCACGACUGGGCCUAAACAUGA